rnacentral:rRNA from 1 species
CCUACGGGGGGCAGCAGUGAGGAAUAUUGGUCAAUGGGCGAGAGCCUGAACCAGCCAAGUCGCGUGAGGGAGUACUGCCCUAUGGGUUGUAAACCUCUUUUGUCGGGGAGCAAAAGCCGGACGUGUCCGGCUGUGAGAGUACCCGAAGAAAAAGCAUCGGCUAACUCCGUGCCAGCAGCCGCGGUAAUACGGAGGAUGCGAGCGUUAUCCGGAUUUAUUGGGUUUAAAGGGUGCGCAGGCGGAUUUUUAAGUCAGUGGUAAAAUCGUGGGGCUCAACCCCAUCCAGCCGUUGAAACUGGGGAUCUAGAGUGUGCGAGAGGUAUGCGGAAUGCGUGGUGUAGCGGUGAAAUGCAUAGAUAUCACGCAGAACCCCGAUUGCGAAGGCAGCAUACCGGUGCACAACUGACGCUCAGGCACGAAAGCGUGGGUAUCGAACAGGAUUAGAUACCCUGGUAGUC